rnacentral:misc_RNA from 1 species
AUGCAGCAUAUGUGGCCUUAAACUUAAGCUUAAAGAAAGGCUUGAUAGGCACCUGGAGUGGCAUACUUGGAGGAAGCCAGAACAAGAUGAUAUGAGUAAGGUUACAAGGAGAUGGUAUGCUGGGUUAGGGGACUGGGUUACUGGAAAGGUAGAGCUUCCAUUUGGAACUGAGUCUUCUGUUUACACAGAUGAAUUAACAGGGUCAAUCAAUGAAAAUGAACCUAUGGUUCCUGCAGAUGAAGA